UACGUAGGUGGCAAGCGUUGUCCGGAUUUACUGGGCGUAAAGGGCGUGCAGGCGGUCUGUUAAGUGCAGGGUGAAAGCUCCCGGCUCAACUGGGAGAGGUCCUUGCAUACUGGCGGACUUGAGGGGGGUAGAGGAAAGUGGAAUUCCUGGUGUAGCGGUGAAAUGCGCAGAUAUCAGGAAGAACACCCGUGGCGAAGGCGGUUCUCUGGGACGGUACUGACGCUGAGACGCGAAAGCGUGGGGAGCGAACAGG
rnacentral:rRNA from 1 species